UACGGGGGGGGCAAGCGUUGUUCGGAAUUACUGGGCGUAAAGGGCUCGUAGGCGGCCAACUAAGUCGGAUGUGAAGUCCCCAGGCUCAACCUGGGAACUGCAUCCGAUACUGGAUGGCUUGAAUUCGGGAGAGGGAUGCAGAAUUCCAGGUGUAGCGGUGAAAUGCGUAGAUAUCUGGAGGAAUACCGGUGGCGAAGGCGGCAUCCUGGACCGACAUUGACGCUGAGGAGCGAAAGCUAGGGGAGCAAACGGG
rnacentral:rRNA from 1 species